rnacentral:lncRNA from 1 species
GUAAUUUUACUAUUCAAUUGUCCCAAAAAUUUAGCUAUAAAAGGGAAUAGUCUUAGGGAUAUUAGGAGUAGAUAGGAGGCAUUCUGAAAAAAUUUACAUAGAGUUGUAGUUAGUAAAUCAGCAAAAAAUCCCAAAGUUACUGAAAAUAAUAAAAAAAAGACAUGAAAGAGUGACAAAAUUAGUUACUAAUCCAAACUCUCCCUCAAACCUCACCACUCACCAUCAGUCUCGGUCUCACCCGAAUCAGACACCCUACUCCUGAAAUCAGUCAAACCUCAUCCUCACCCUUCAAUCCCACCCUUACCACUCUCGAGACCCAACACGACACUCGAUUAUAUUUAAAUCCACCAAAGUCCCCAACAUAAGUCUCACCAUUUCAUUCUAGGAGCACUCAUCAUCGCACUACCUCGCAAGGAAAAAGGAGUCACCCAUUAAUGUCCGUCCGAAACACUAACGCACAUAUCAAAUGUGGCAAGACCUCUGGUUGAUUAGACCACCAUCUUCUUUUUUCUAUUCAAAAUCCACCAAACCCCAGAUCCAGGAAGCCCAUCUCAUCUCCGAGAAAUCAACUGUCCUCCGUAGGCCCAAAGAUUUCCUGUCAAUAGUAACUAGGACGAAGAGAGACGGGAAUUAGAAAUCAGGUGUAGGUUUAAAACCGAGAAAAAUCAAAGGGAUAUAGAUAGAUUUACCUAAGCCUCUAAUGAUCGAGCUGCUGUUGGUAACGCACCAAGGAAAUCUUCCUGGGUUGUGGGCCUCAAGGGGGCGUCGAGAAGAGGUAAAACAUGAGUUAAGCAUCAGGGACAUACCGUUGCUAAGAAUGGGUCUGAUUAACUACUCCAAUGUCCUCGGCCUUGGAGAGUAAGAGUGGCUGAGCAUUGAACCCCAUGAACCGUCAAGAUCCGGAGAAGAAAAGGCAACGUCUCCUCUGGUCGAUCAAGUACUAAUCGGAGUAGUCCUUGGGGCCUUCGGAUUGAGGGCAGAGGGAGAUUUCCGAGGAGAAGUGGCGGUGACCUAGGUGUAGAUCGAGAUGAAGGAGAUAAGGUUUUGAGAUAGUGUCGAUGGUUGAGAAAUAGGGAGAGAGGAAGCAAAAUAACCCUAAGGGUUAUUGACUUAUCGAACGACAUUUGGGGCGAAUCUGUGUUUCGUCUAAUAAAUCACCAAAUAAACCAUAAAAACCAUAAAAAUUAUAAAAAAAAAUUCUUUAUGAUUAUUUCAGAAUUGGUUAAUUCCCAAAAAUUGACCAUUCUAAAUAAUCAUCGAGAAAACCAAAACAUUGUUCUUAAUCCCCUUAAUCCCUCUACAACCCUAAAAAAUUAUCUAAAAUAAUAAGUAAACAAAAAUCCCAAAAUCUUUUUUAAUAAAAGACACGUGAUAGUUAAAUAUUGCCUAAUCAUAACGGGUAGUUUGGGUAUAUGAUUUGAAAUACAAGAGAUUUGAAAUACAAGUGAUUUGAAUGAAACUUGCUAUUUUCAAAAUAGAUCGCUUGGAUGGCUGAUUUAAUUUUUGUCGGAUUUCAGGAAUGAUUCGAACCAUCCAAACUUAUUAUUGUAGAGAAAGAAAAAUAAAACAACAAUAAAAAAUAAAAAUAUUAAAAUGUCUCCCAUUUAUUUAUGGUCAUAUUAAUUACCAAAAGAAAUAAGGGUAAUUUUGGUUAAAAUUCUCAAAUCUCCCCUCUCUGCUCUGAAUUCUUUACCUCUCCUAGGCGAUUUGAAAUCACUCACUAAAUUCUCUCUGGGCCCACAAGGUGAUUUCAAAUCUUUCCAAAUCUCUUCUCUUUUUUUGGGUCCUAAACGGGAGACAAAAUAUCUUUGAAAGUCCAAACACCCCAAAUCACCCAUCAAAAUUACCUACCCAAAUUAUCCAAAAGUCUUUUGGGGGAUUCCUAAUUCUUUGAGUUAGCUAUUCUGAAUAAUCGUUAAAACUUCAACUUUCUAUCAGGACUUUUUCCCCUAUUAGAACAAUUCCUAUAAAAAUCUUAAAUAAAAUAAUGAUAAUACAUAAUUAAAUCACUAAAUAAAUUUUUGUUAGUAUAAUUACUUCGAAUAGGCUAAGUUCCACGACUUGGCUGUCCUUAGUAAUUAUUCAAACCACUAAAUAAUUUCUCAAAAUAGAAUAAGUUUAGGAAAAGCCCGACGUAUCCCUUCAUGGACCUCAGCCAUAGCACGCAAACCCUCCUUACCCCAUGCAUUUCAACAACAAACCAUUAGUCCUCUUUUUGAAUAAAACAUCAUCUAGUAAGAUAUAAGUCCUUGCCUUAAACUUUGUGUUUCAGUCAACAUUACUGCUUGGAUUCUUCAAGUACGCUACUAAAAGGGUAUGCCAAUCUUUGGCACCUUCCUCAUCUAUGUUGAACACUUCAACAUCAUGUUUUAAAAAUUCAUAUAAUGGGCUAAUUGAUUUAACAGAAAUUUGCUCUCCUAUAACAUGGGAAAACUCUCUAAAGCCAGAGACUAGCUAUGCUAAGUAAUUGGACUUGCCAAUAUCCUGGCGAGGCACAUACCUAAUAGAGGAUUUAUCAAAGUGAGAUAUCAAAAUCUGAACAUAGUUGAGGUACGUCUCUAACACAUAGUUAAUACAUUUGAAUUCACCAAGCACCUGGUAAACCACUAGUUGAGAGUCCCCCUUAAUAUUAACAUUUAUAACCUUUAGAUCCACAAGUAUCUCCAUCCUAACUACCAAUGCCUCAUAUACAGCCGGGUUGUUAGUGCAUGGAAAAUCAAGGGUGAAAGCAAAAUGUAAAACAUAUCCAAAUGGUGAAGUGAGGACUACCCCAACACCUGCCCCAUCUCGUGUUUUUGAGCCAUCAAAAUAUAAGGACCAUGGUGCUUCCUCCAUCAUCCCUACCUCUGCUGGCUCUAGUGGUACAUCCAUAUAGGGGUGAUCCGCCAAGAAAUCAACUAAAACUUGGCCUUAAUGGCCUUCUGGGCAUAUAUUGUAAAUAAAACUCAGAUAGACCAAGUAUCCAUUUACCAAUUCUCCCAUGGAUUAUUGCUCAGGACAACAUGCAUCAAGCAGUACCUUAGUUUUGUACUUGAGAAAUAUAAAGCCAAACACAACUUUUCUAUGUGGGAAUACCUUAGCUCAACCCUAUUUAACAAUCUACUUAAGUAAUAAACAACCUGUUCAUGGCCCGAGUUAUUGUCUUUAGCCAACAAACAUGCUAUCGAGGUGUCAGUGGUAGAGAGAUACAAUUUAAAAGGCCGAUGUGGGAUUGGAGAAUUAAGUACUAUCGAGCUUGCCGAGUACUUCUUGAUGUUAUCCAAAGCUUGUCAGUGCUCCUGAUGCCAUAAAAACUCCUCUUCACUCUUUUAACUUCAACAAAGGUGAGAACACUUGGGUUCGGCCGGCACAAUUUGAAAUGAAGUGUCGAAUGUAAUAAACCUGGCCAGCUCCUUCUUAUUAUUCGGUGGCAUGGCUUCUAUUAUGGCCUUAGUUUUACUUUGGUCAACCUUAAUGUCACGUUAGUUUUCAUGGAAACCUAAAAAGUUAUUUUCAGAUACACCAAAGGCACACUUAAGUGGGUUCAAUCUCAAAUUGUGGACCCUCAUUCGUAAGAAAGCCAUACGCAAAUGAGAGAGAUGAUCAUCAGUCACCUUGGACUUGACUAUAAUAUCAUCCACAUAUACUUCCCCCAACUCACCAAUCAAGUCAUGAAAGAUAGUAUUCAUGGCUCUUUGGUAAGUGGCACCUGCAUUCUUCAAGCCAAACGGCAUGACCACCCAUUCAUAGCACCCUAUAGCCCUUGAACACCGGAACACAGUCUUGUAGAUGUCUUCAUCAUCUAAAUGAAUUUGAUUAUCGCCUGAGCAACAAUGCAUAAAAGAGAAAAUUUUAUGCCUAGUCAUAACAUCAAGCAACAUGUCAGGUACUAGCAUAGGGUAUUCAUCCUUAGUAGUGGCCAGAUUUAAAUUUCUAAAAUCUAGACACACACUUAGCAUGUCAUUUUUCUUCCUAACUGACACCAUGGUAGAUAACCAUUCUACAUACCUAGCUAGCCUUAUAAACUUAACCUUUAACAAGCAUUCAAUUUCCUUUUCAUCUCUGGUAAGACCUCAUAAGCAAAACAUCUAGGUGACUAUUUAAAUGGUGUAAAUCCAUAAGUUAUUGGCAACCUAUGAUCUAUGGACUUUCUAUCUAAACCAGUCAUUUCAUGAUAAUCCAAAGCAAAACAAUCUUUAAACUCUUUCAGCAAAUUAAUCAAACCAGUAAACCUAUCAGCUUCUAAACCAUGGCACUUAUGAAGGUAUGACAUGGGUCAUCCUCAAUGCCAAGGUUAAUAUCCUCUAAUGCAUCACGAGGUUCCAUAUGGUUUUUGGCUUCUUCAGCAAUAACAUCCUCACCUUCUUCAGGUAAGUCAUCAUCAGGUACAUAGUGGGCCAUCAACACUGGCUCUUCUUGAAAUAGCCUUUGCUCACAUUGAUAGAUGGCCAACCUCUCAAUCAAGGAGGUAAUUUCGGCCUUGCUUUCCACCUUCUUUUGGGGUGGCUUAUUCAUCAUCAACACUCUUCUCAAGCUCAUGCGGACCAUCUAAAGAUGACAUUGAUUGUCUCACAAUCUCCGACAAGGGUUCCAACCAAGCCUUGCUCAAUACCUUAGUGCUAGAAAUUACCACGAUGCAUUCCCCCGUCCAUUCUCCUAAUCACCAAAGGUCCAAAUUCUCCAUCUUAUAAUGGAGCUUCGGCUACAUUUUUUGCACCAACAAUAAAAGGUCUAGUAUCUGCUUGGACCACUUCCACUGUGCCCCCCUUAUUCCGAAACAUCAAGCAUUAAUGCAAGGAAGAUGGGACUGACUUAAUAGCAUGGAUCUAGUCCCUUCCUAACAAAGCGUUAUAGCUCAUUGCUCCAUCUACCACAAAGAAAGUAGACAUAUUCUCCUGGCUGUCAACUCACACUAUGACUAGGAGAAUUCCUCUGGCUGAAGUUGAUCCCCCAUUGAAGCUUGUGAAAAAAAACGUCAGUGGGAACCAAGUGAGUAAUGUUCUUUCCAAGUUUCCUCAACAUUCUUGUCGGCAAAAUUGACGGUAGCGCCAUUACCAACAAAGAUUUUAGACAUCGGGACACCAUCCAUCCUAACCUUGAUAUAUAAAUGCCUUAAAUGCCUUAACAUACUUGGCUCAUGCUCUUCGAAGACCACUACGUGGUCUAGCUCAACAGUGGCAUCCCUCAAAACAAAAGGCAUGACUUCUUUUACCCUUUAAAGCGGUCAAUGUCAUUGCAGCCUCUUCUUCUGCCAUGCCCUCUUCUUUGGUCAAAUAAUGACCCAACUCUUCAUCAAACUCGAGAUCCCAAGUAGAACUCUCAACUGGAAUGGAUAAUGAUUCUCCAGAGCCUUGGUAUAACACGUAGUAAGGAAACCUACCAUGAUCCUCUCCGAGUAAACCCACACUUCUAUGUCCUGCCUCAUGAAGUUCCCUUAAGAUUUGUUGAGAACUCUUGCCUUGUUUUGCCACCUAAGCGGCUAGAUCAAUACAAACCCCUAAAUGAGUCAUCCUAGUACUCGAAGGCUUGUCACUAGUCUCUAAACUCGCAAAAGCUUCUACCCACUCAUCACUCAAUUCAUCUUCAUUUCCCACCGAAUCUUCACUUUCCAUACUGCCUCUUGAUCUUCCUCAAAGAACUAGAAAACCAUGGGCCAUAUGUCCUAAAGCGAAUAGUUGUAGUAGCCCCUUGGUCAUCCUCAUCUUCAUCCCUCUUAUCCCUAUUAAAUUUAGGAUUAGGGUUCUCAUCCUUUAGCAAAUCUUCUUGGAUGUAGUCUUCUAUCACUGCAUCAUAGCCCUCACUUUGUUCCAAAAGACUAUCCAUGAAAUGAUCAUCUGCUCCUUCUAAGCGAACAUCUAACAAAUUUUCACCCAACCCUUCUUGGACUACAUUAUCAUUCUGGGCCUGGACAUGUUUGCCCAUAUCUAACAUUGUCACCUUGAGGCCAGUGGACAUGGAGUUGUCGACUUUGAUGUUUGUUUGAGGGUCAUCAUUUCUUCUUGAUGUCCCCACCACCUUGCCAGAGACCAAAGUGUCAAGGCCUUGGCGCGUCUGGGCAUUUUUACGCAUGAACCUCCUCUUUUGAGUCCUAGUCAUCUCAGCCAUAGCCAUUGGUUGUUGCCUAUUGCUAUCAUAGAUGUGUGAACCCCCUAAUGAUACAUUUUAAACGUCCUUCUCAUGGGAGGGUGACCAUAGCCAUCCCACUGUCUUCGUUGUACCCAAGGUUAUGUUGGCUGCCCUCACGCUGGUUGCUUAACUCCUUCCACAUGACUUUGGUACGAUGGGUAUCUUGGCUUAAAAUAUGGGCCAAGCCUCUGAUGGACUGGUGAGUUAGCUCUUGCCUCAUCCAAGACAAGGCUCCUCUUGCAGCAAAGACACUGUUUGUAUACAUUGCUUAAAACCCCAGAAGUGGUUGGACGAGUCUGCAAACCACUUGAAGAACUACCUUGCUCAAAGGUUUCUUGAGGAGUAGCCUUUGGGAGUGGUGUCGUAUCCUACACCAGCUUGAAACAUGGCAACUCAACCCUAGAGAAAUCCAGGUUGACGAUAUUGAUGCUUAAAACAUUAGGGAAUGGAUCAAUAUCCACCAACAUUGCAUCCUUUUUGGGCUCAGGGAACUUGACCCGCCCCUUCUCAGUGGCAUCCUGUAGUACAUUACAAAAAACCGCACAAUUAUCAGUGGAAUGUGACAUGCUAUUAUGCCAUUUACAAUAUUUUGUCCUUUUUUGCUUUUAUGGGGUGGGAUGUUAUGCCCCUAGUCAACUUGACUUAGCCAUCUUUGUAAAGUUGGUCAAAAAUCAAGUCAGCCUUAGAAACAUCAAAAGAAUAUUUUUGUGGCUAGAUACAUGCACGGUUGGGCUUCCCCCCUUAAGGCUCAGGCUCAACCUUGGCCAAAGAAGCACACACGUAUGGCUUCCCAGGGGCUAACUCAGCCCAAUCAACCUCCACCUCUAUUAUUUCUUAACUAAUGUGAUUAACGGGGUAAAUAAAUUGGGGAAAGUAUGGUCCCCUUGAGGUACUUCUCCUAUUCUCCUCUUCCUGGAGGAAGGACUCAUACCACGGCAUAAGACAUGAGUUGAAACAAGUUAGAGAACUCUCUAUCCUGAAACUUCGUCCUUAACUCAAAGCUAAACCCGCCAAUGCCAACUUGACAAACUCUCUCUCUAUCAAGUUAACAAACCAACUGUUACGAGCAUUCUUGAAGUUGGUCAAGAAAUGGUCCACUGACUCACCUGGCUGUUGGUGCAUACAUGUCAAGUCAGCCAUGUAGACCUCAGGCUCAUAUCUGUAGAAUUGAGCAUGAAAGAUGUGCUCCAUGUGUUGUCGGGUUUGUAUAGAAUUAGAUGGAAAGUCUACAUACCAGGAAAAGGCUGAUCUAGUCAACGAGUUGUCAAAAAUUCUUAAUUUCAUGAAAUCCCCAACAUCACCACAUUGGAUAGUGAAACGUCCAACAUGCUCCACGGUGGAUUGGUCACCCAACCCAGUGAAGGUGGAAAAGUUAGGUAACCUGAAUGCCUUUGGGAAUGGGUAAAGCCUAUCUACCCAUUCAGGAUAAGAUUACCGGUACAUAAGUGGCAUGGUGGUCCUAACUUCCAAACCAAACUACUCAGUGAGAAAUAUUAGAGCAUUGGCAUCAUGACCAUGACCCCCUUGAUACCCUCUGACAUGAAUCCCAUGGGGUCACCACGAGGUGGCAGUUCUCCCCUUCCCACAUCAUUAGAACUCUGCACUUGUGUAGUGGUAGGAAUGUCACCCUGAUUCGUACGGUGAAGGGAUGGGUCUUUACUUUGUUGGUUAUUCAUUGGAGGUGAAACAUUCUCUUGCCGUGGUUGGCCACUGUAUCCAUUGGCAUGAGGAAUGUUCAUAUUCCCAUUCAAAUCAUUAAUGGUUGGAUUGACAUCAUCUAAAGAUCGAUUUCUUGUUUGUGCUAAAUUCAUCAAAAUCAUUUUUAUUUUCAUUGACCAACUCAAUGACUUGAUUCAAACAUCUGUCUACCCUAGAAUUUUAUGACUCACCGGGCUCAUUAAGAGAUGUUAACUGAAGAGUUACCUGUUGAUGACUCUGGCCAAGCCCAGCCAGGCAGCCUUGGUUCUCUUCCAUCAGCUUAUAGCCUUAGAACAUCCUCUAUGACCAGCAGCACCGCCAGCCACUUGCUCCUCUUCCACAAAAGGUUGUGGAAGCUCACCUUCCUGAUUCCUUCUCCUUGGUGCCAUCAAAUCAACACAAGGGUCCCACCGAGCGUGCCAAUGUGUUUUGGGUGAGAAAACCUGCGUUGACUCGAAUUGAAUGCACUUGUGACUUCUUUGACCCGAAUUUCUAAACACGGCUCCCAACCUCUUUGAACAAAGUUCAAACGAGGGUGACUUGAUGGGCUUGAUGACUGCCAGUGACUUGGUGAGAGGGUGACUUUAUGACCUCCACUUACUUGUGCCGAUAUUGGACGAUCUGUGAUGAUCAGUAACUUGGACUACCGAUGACUUGGGAUGGUAUCGCAUUAAUUUGGAUGUCUCCCAGUUACUUUGAUGUCCGACAGUGGCUGGGAUGUUUGCUAGUAAUUUAGAUGUCUACCAAUCACUUGGAUAUCUGGUAGUAAUUUAGAUGUCAUUCAAUUUACUUGGAGGUUUGAUAGUAGUUUGGAUAUCCCAAAAGACCGCGUCUAAUUUAAUUUAAUUAAUUCAAUUAAUUUGGCUUUAAUUAAAAUGGUUUAAAAACCUUAAAAUUAGCCGUGUGUUAUGAAUAUUAUAAUUAUUUGUAUGAAUGCUCAUUUGUAACUCCUACCUUUGUAACUCCUAUACAUUGAAUAUGAUAAUGAAUAUCCUAUUUAAGUGUAGUUGUACUAGUGAUGCAUAGGUUAUGAAUUCUAGAGCCUAUAAAUAAUGCUCUCUCUUGUAUCAUUUUUACACCUCAAUAAGAAUGUUUCGCUCCAACCGGUCUCUCGCACUUAUUCUCUCUCUAACAACUCCAAAAUGUCCCUCGAAAAUAUGAUAUCCCGUCUGAAGGGUUGCUAGGGCUUUUUAUAGGCUCCUUAUCCUAAUCCGGGAUGGAAAAGGAUAAAAUAACCCGUCUGGGAUGGAACACGCCGUGUUCCACGGGACACACCUAGGCACACGCCGUGUUCCUUUCCGUGUUCCUCCCCUGUAAGUUUUCGCCCAUUUUUCCUCGUCAGGACACGCCGUGUUCAAUAUGGACAACGUCAUGCAAUUUCAUUAUUGCGCACGAGUGCUGGAUUCUUGAAAGUUUACAAAUAUUUCUAUUUGCUCGAUUCUCUUAUUCUUCUACCUACUUGGAACACGUCGUGUUCCGUGGAGCACGCUUUGGAACACGUCGUGUUCCAUGCAAUGUUCCUCCCCUGUACUCCUAAUCCGUCCGUUUCCACUCCUGCUUAUCCUCAAACACCGUAUAUCGCCUGAAAAUGCAUCAAAACGCACCGAACAACGUAAUACAGCCCCAAAGGGGGAAGGGAACAAACAUGUGCUAGAGAAUCCAGAUUUAAACACUUUUCGACACACAAAAGCCUCAUUUUACAAUUAAAAAGGUGUGUCAAAUAUGCACACAUCAAUAACCGUUGGGUCAUAUUUUAAUUCUUGGGUAUUGAUUUAUCUAUUUAAUUUUAGUAUCAAUUUAUUUAGUUCAUAUAUCAUCUAAUCUAAUUUAUUUAUCAAUACAAUAUGCCUAACAUUUCACAGUUUGUGACUCUUGUAGUUUUUACACGAGUUAUUUUUAAUGGAUAUUGGAUAAUGAUAUCCACUUGGAACAUAAUGGUCUUGACGAAAUCAUUAAAGAUGAUGAUGGAAUAUCUCAUUAAGACAAAGCCCAAACUUUGAUCUUUACUCGUCAUAUAUUAAUGAAUGGCUAUAAUUGAGUACCAUGAGUACCAAGAGACCAGAAUGAUCAAAAGGUCCAAGUUAUAUUAUAUACUAAAGGUCCAAGAGACAACAUAUCCUUAUUUGGAGUGAGUGAUUAUAAUCAUAUGUCCAUAAGGUGACAAUAUAUAGUCUCAUAUGUGAAAACAUCAAUACACUACUGUGGAGGUAAAGACCUAUUAUUUUGAUGAUGAGAAAGAGAGCACAUUUAGCAUAUCAUAUUUCUCUAUGCAUAUAGUUUGAUUUCUUUUAUAUUUCUAGUUGAAUUUUGAAUGAUGAAAAAUCAUCUUUGUCAUAUUUUAUGGUUUCAAAAUUCUUACUAAAAUUUUCUUAAUUUUAUUUUAUAUUUAAAAUGUAUUUCUUUUGUUUUAUCAUUGGAUAUUAUCAUCUUUUGGUUACAUAGAUGGCAUGCACAUUAUUAAGACUCCUAAAGAGUUUCUCAAAGGAAUCAACUAUUUGAUUAGCUAGAGAAUUCGCGAUGAAAGAUGUGGAAGAGCAAAUCUUACCACUAACUUGUAAAUUGUGCAUCUCUCUCGAACAUGAUUCUUGUAUAUCAUCAAUGAUAUACUAAUAAUAUCCAGCAAGUAUUUAUGUGGAUAUAUCAUGGCUAUAAGUGCAUUGUUGGUGGUUAGAUCACUAUAUUGUUGGUGGUAAGAUCACUAUAUGCAUGUCUAUGUCGAGUUCAAUCGAUCUUCAUAAAGUUAUGAAACAACUUGGUGGUUUGUGAAGUAAGCUAAUCAAGCAGUAUCACCAUUCAAAUACAUGAUCUUGCGAUUCAUGCAUGAUAUGUAUUUUACAUAUCUCCACGAGUUCAAAGAGGAAUGCGUCUGAUGUGAUGUGUCUCGGUACCAUUGCACAAAUGCUACGCUUCACCUAAAUUAUUUGCUCGCCAUUCAUUCCACAAAAAUGAUAUAAUAUUAUGUGAUAUUUAUGUACUCUUUUUUCCUUCACUAGGGUGUUUCCCACAAGGAUUUCCUAGUAAGGUUUUAAUGAGGCAUAUUCUCAUCAAAUGGUCAUCCAAGGGGAGCAUAUUAUAAAUAUUGAUUAUGUAUGACCAUUAAUCAUAACAUGCAUACAUUAGAUGUAAAAACUCCAAUGAGUUGGAAAAGAAUAUUUUCAUGAGUUGACAUACUCUAUAAACAAGUGCACUCAAAUAUUUUUCAUGAGUUGACAUACUAUAUAAACAAGUGCGCUCAAACGAUUACUUGGUUGAUUUAAUCACCAAAGGCUCUACAUGUCUACAUGCAUCAACUUUGGAAAAGCUAGUCCAACAUUUAUAGUUCGGCGAAUGAAAGAUCUCAAUUGAUAUCAUGAUGAGGGGGAGUUAAUAUGCACUGCACUCUUUUUUCCUUAACCAUGGUUUUUCCCACUGGGUUUUCCUGGUAAGGUUUUUAAUGAAUAUUUGUAAAAGUGUGUAUUCGAUAAUNNNNNNNNNNNNNNNNNNNNNNNNNNNNNNNNNNNNNNNNNNNNNNNNNNNNNNNNNNNNNNNNNNNNNNNNNNNNNNNNNNNNNNNNNNNNNNNNNNNNNNNNNNNNNNNNNNNGUUGUUCGAAUUUUAGUCUAAGUGGUAAGGAAUAAUACAGAGUCUAUACAGACUAGCUAGCUACAUUAUUGUUCCACGUUAUAAAUUUAUUUUCCAUGAUUCUGCCAACCCGUUAAUUUCAAUGUCUUCCUAAUCCUACCUAGAGAAUAUUCAGUCCAACCAAUAAAACCAAACACAAUCUCCUAUCAACAAUUUCCCACCAUUAAGAUAAAUAUAAUAUAAUAUAAUUGAAUUUUCUCCUUCACUUGUAUUGUUGACUGCCAACAACAGAUUCAACGAAUGCAAGUAGUUAACGCAUUCGUUCAACUAAUCAAGCUUUGAAUUUUUUUUUAAAAAGAUUUAAUGACAUCACAAAACGAAAAAAAGAAAAAAGAAUAAACAUCAAUUUAUCCAUUUACAUUUUCCACCCAAAACCAAUCAAGUCAAAUACGUAACUGAGGCCUGCUCAUUUUUCCACGCUGGCCGACACCGUCUGCCACGUGUACACUUAAUUCCCGGCAAAACUCCUGCCUCGAGCCUGCAGUCUUGACCCGAAUAUUCCCCGUAUUGUUUCACGGAAAGUUCCUGCCCCCCCCCCAAUCUAAACCUAAUCCGCCACGUUUGCACAUGUAACUAACUCGCUAACUCGUUCGCCGUACUCGGCCGAGUCUCCACCGCCUCCUUACCUCGCUCCAAGUCUACUACCCCACCAUCCUCAAAAGCCGCCGAAGUACCGCCGCAGCUAGUCGGGAUCGGAGAUCGAGGGGACAGAUUAUUCCCUCUCCAGUCCCUGCUCAGAAUCCUCGUAAACGACAGCAUCCGGCUCAUCGGCGACCUGAACCCCUGACUCGCCGGCGACUCGGCAGACGAUGACGUCGCGUCCCCGAAAUUCCCGGUCCUUCUCGGCACGUCAAUUCUCCCAUCCAGAUCCCGCACGGGCUUCCUCAUUUCCCGAGACUCCGCUGACGUGGAAGGACCGACAUGGUCCGCAUACGAAUUGCACAGAUCUGACGGAGUAACCACCUCCACACCCGAACUAACAGCCACCGCUUCAACCGGCGAGCGGCAGAGUGGACAAGUAGAGUGAGAAUGGAACCACAUGUCAAUACACUCAGUGUGAAAGCUGUGCUUACACUGCGGGAGAGUCCGCCCUUUCUCCUUCUCCUCGAAUUCGGACAAACAAACAGCGCACUCCAUCGAUUCGAAUUCUAAAUCGGCAGAGUAGACAAACACAGGAAGAGAUUUAAGCACAGAGGCCUCCAAUCCGCGAGAGGAAGCGGCGGUGGUUGUGAGGUUAGCAGUAUCAGGAUCUACAUAGAAGACGAGGUUGGCGGAGCGGCGGCUGCGACGGCGCAUCUGGCGACGGCGAGCGCGGAGGAGGUACCAGCGGGCGUAGAGGUGGAGGCAGAUCAUAACGAUGACGACGAAGAAGAGGACGACGAUUGCGCUGAGCAUGAUCCUCCCGCUGAGAGCGUAGCUCCGGUCGGCGAAGGACGGGGUUGGAUUCGUAUCCUUGGGGUCGGAAUCCAUUAGGAAGUGGUUUUGGUGGUAGGAAUCCAGUUGGCUUGAAUCUUGAUGGCGGUGGAUUGCAGGGGAAAAGAAAAUCGGAGAGAGUGGUGUUUGUUUGGAAGGAAAUUGAGGAGGAAUUUUGAUGAUUAAGUAGUUUGAAGAAGAAGAGGAGGAAGGUUCUUGGUGGGGGGGUUGGUUAAUUGUUAUUGUUUGAAUUGAGAGAGGUCGUGGAACUUGUGAAUGGGGUCUUAAAAAAGACUGUAGACGCCAUGUUUGACGCGUGAAGUAAUUAUUCAAUUCAAAUAUUUUGAUUUUUUGGUUCACUUCUUGGUGUGUGUGUGUAUCACAUUUACAAUUACCGUGAUUGUCUUUCAAUUUUUUGGACUUAUUGACAGUGACGUCUUGCUUUCAUUUUAAUUAAAUGUUUUAUAUUAUUUUUUCUGUCUUUCAUACAUAAUAUAUAAAAUUAACUUUAAAUGAAUAACAGAAAUUUAAAAAUUUAUAAUUUCAUUCAUGAUAAGAAAGAGUCUCGCAUAUUACAAUUUGGACGAUCCAACUAUCCUAACAAGGAAUAUGUGGUGAGUACAUGAAGCAAUAAGGACAAGCCAAAGAAAGGACAUCAAGUCAGCAACACCAUAGUAGUAUUUCAACCCAAAUAUCGGAGGUAGACGAGAAAAUAAACAAUAGACAAUUGUGACGAGGGUUCGUAGUUGUAAUACUACGACGGACAUCUUUGAGGUUCGAGAGGGUGAGGCUCUGGUGCUAUUAAAGGCAAUGAAUUGGACAGCUCGUAGUGUUCAUUUAAACUUUAUCUUUGACGUUGACUCGAUAGAGUUUAAGCAACAGUAGCAAGCUGCACGAAAAAUUCUACAAAAUUCGGUCAAAUUAUCGCUUCAUACAAUGCUUUGUUGCUCUCAAUACCCCUAUUAGUGUCAUUUUUUAUUAGGAAAGAUUGGAAUCUGGUCGUUCAUAAAUUAUCUCAGCAAUUCUUUCCCAUAACACCAUCAUACAUUUAGCAUGCAAUUAUACAUUGGCUCGAAUAUACACUCUUACAUACAUAUAUGCAACUGGAUCAAUAAUGACAUGCUUAAAAGGAAAAAAACAGUGUCAUACAUUGGGUUGAUUGACUUGAUUGUCACAAAUAUAUAGCCAUUGAACCCAAAUAAAGCCCAGUUCACAAGAAUGGUCCAAUAGUAAAACCGAAAUCCAUAAACUUUAAUCAAUUUAAAGCCCAACUCAGCAGCUAAGCGCCCGAGCCACAAUGGAAAGACGAAAGACGAACCGCGCGCUUGAACUUUAAACUUAAUUAGAUAGCUCCAACCUCCUAUUAGUACUGUCCAACUCGAGAUGUUCUCCGAAACAUUCAACAAUCCGUGGCAUGAACCCUUUCGUCUCAAUAAUUCAAGAUAUUAAGAGAUAAUUCUUAUUGAUAUUCAUAUUAACAGCUCGAUCACUUAGUGUUGAGCUUGGGCUGCCAUUGAAUGCCUUGGUCUUGCCUGGCAGCUGGGAUUUAGGAGGGAGAGUCACCUCCAAUUGGAUUCCACCGUACCGUUGCCAUUUCCCUUUUUUGCUAGUUUCUUUAACAACAGCCCCCUACCCAGUAUAUAGAAUCAUCCAUGACAGCAAAAUGGCAAAGUUUUUAUUAAUGAAUUUCUAAUUGAAGUAUAUUGAUUAUUAAAUCAAGUUUUAUGGUAAGCUACCACUAUAAUGCAAUUUCAUCUUCAUUCAUUCCCCCAAUAACAAUACUCUGAAUGGCAAGCAAAACCAAAUUCCCUGUUCCCGCAUUGCCAGAUGAGGAACAUCAAGACUACUUCAGCGACUACGGCUUCGACCCUCAAAUCCACUACUCCCAGGUUAAUUCUCUCUUCUCUUUAAUUUGUUUCAGCUACAUACGGACUCUCUAUUCAAAAAAUAUUAUACUGAAUUCGGUUCCUGAUUUUUGCACUUUUUGAAUAUUUGUGUGUCCAGUUCUUGGAAGAAGCAAGGAAGCAAAGACUACAAAGAACAGACAGUUUCAGUACUAAUCUACUGUACUCGAGGUUCCAGAAGCCCAUCUCCAAAGAUGACGACGAAUCAUUCAGUCACAAACUCAAAAUGAAGAAGCAGCGAUGGUGGAAGAACGCGCUCCUCUUCUUCAACAGAGGAAGAGAAAAACAAAAUGUUGUUGGUAAUAAACCCAAGACAGUAAACGGGCUGGAUUGGGCUUUACCCGGCCCAAAUGGAGCGGCGUCAAUGCCAGGGCCCGUCUACGUAACAGAGAGCCGGAGGAGCGGGUCCAGCAGUACUCUGACAACCUCCAGGCGGCGGCCUAACUCCGGUCCGCUGCCCUACGUUAGCUUGAAGGGGCUUAAUAACGUGGAGAAGCAGCAGGAACAACAGAGGGUUUCGACCUCCGCCUUGCCCAUCUACUUGGUCACCUGAAGGGUUAGAAGUUAUAUAUUGUUGUCUGUGGUGUUUGGGUUAAGUCUUAAGGUGUGUGGAGUAAUUCGUUUUUCUUAAGGGUUUUGGAUCAUGUUUUUCCUUGGUUUAAUUUUAGCUUAUUAUUCUGCUAAGUUUGGUGUUUGCUGAACAUACUUCUUCGGUGCUUGUAACUUGCUAGAGUGUUGCUGUUGGUUUCAACAUUUAGCUAGGUUCAUAUUCAAGUCUUUCUACCCUAACCUAACUUGGUCUGUGAUAUGGCCUCAUUUAGGACUCUGUUUUAUGUAACUGCUGGUUAUUGGGUUAUAAAAUAAAAUAACUAGUUAUAUCACACCAGUUAUAUUGUUAAAAUAACUAGUAAAGCUAGUUAUGUUUGUUAAUUUGAGAAGAGAGGAGGAUCUAGAGAGCCAAGGACGGAGAACUGGAAUCUUUUGCCCAUGUUUGUAAACUUGAGGAUGGAGAAACGUUUAUUGAGAAUGAAUAAACUCACUAGCUAUAUUACUAAAAUCAUUUUUGAUGAAAAGUCUCAAAUGGUCAAAUAUCUAAAUUAUAGGACUAAAUUUUUUUAAUGCAUAAGGUUAAAGUUUCAAAUGACUGAAAAAUGUAAUUUUUAGUUUUAUAUUUGGCUAAAAUUUGAGUCAAAUAAUUAUAUUUAGCCAAUUAAUAAAAUCAGCCAUGUGGAUUCUACUAACGAAUUUUUUGUUCAAUUAAUUAAUUAUAUCUAUAUACAAAUAAUGAUCUAAUUAUUAAAUUAAAAUGACAAAAUCAAUAUUAGAUUAAACUUAUAAAAGUACCGAUCCUAAAUAUAGGACUACACCAUUUGAGCAAAACACCUUUUGGAAAAUGUAAAGUGUCAAAUAUAGCCAUUUGAGACAUAGCAUUGAAGAUGGUCUAACAAAUUCUAACAUUCUAGAACUAACGGUAACAACUCUAACUAAUUGAAGGACUAAAUGGUAAUAGUCUUUAACAAAUUAUAAAAUAAAAAUAAAUAGUUAUAUGUUUUAGAUAACCAGGUAUAUAAUUGAUAAUAUAACGAGUAAUAUGUUUUUUUCGAGAAAAAAACCGAUUAAUAUGUGAAAUUAACUGAUUAAAAGGAUCAAAUAAUAAGUUAUUAGGUGUCGUCCGGUACCCAUCCCUAGGUGACCCUUCCUAGCUACAAACACAUGACUAGAAAACAAAACGCACGAGAACUCAAAACACUGGAUCGUAUUUGACACAAUGAAUGAUCAAAUUUGUAAUUUAAAUCAGAUGCACAAUUAACUACACAAUAAACCGGUUAAUGUUCUACCAAUUGGGUGGACAACUAUACAUUCACUAGAUAUUCUAGAGUAAGAGAAAGAGGCAACAAUAACUAGUCAAAUUAAGAUUGCGUCGCAAGCCAUACGCAAAGUAUGCAAGUUCGAAUUCGAUCAAUGUUUUUAUAAUCGAACCAUUUCAUUAAAUAGUAGUUUCCAAAUCCAAAGCCAAGCUGAAGCCGGAAGAAAAAAGCUAGGCUCGGCUAGGUAGAGACAAGGGGGGCGUGAAAUGUAAUAAAUAGCCAUUAAAAUCCUUUUCAUAAUAAAUACAGUGGAGACAAAAAAGCAACCGUUUAUAUAAAUCAUCAUAUAAAAAAACUGAUAGACCCCUCAGCUUUAGGGCAACUCUCUGAUUCACUCACUCACUUUUUCCCUUUCUUCAACACUUUCCUAUUCCACUCCUCUGAAACCACCACAACAAUGGCGACUAAAACCAAAUCCCCUGUUUUCCCAUUGCCGGACGACCAUGAAGACCCCUUCACCGACUACGGCUUCGACCCUCAAAUCCACUAUUUCCAGGUCUCACCUCAAUCACUACUCAUUUUUCAUCAUCAUUUCCAUUUCAACACCCUUUUCUAAUUUUGUUUUAAACUUCGAUUUGAUUCAGUUCUUGGAAGAAGCAAGGAAUUACAAACCUCCACAAGCCAUCACCGCUACUAAUCUGCUCUUGAAGCUCCAUAAGCCCAUCGAACCACCAAAGACGAAAAUCAAGAAGCAGAAGUGGUGGAAGAACGCGCUCCUCUUCUUCAACCUCAAGCGCGCUCCUCGUCGCCAUCACCACCAUCGCAGCGGUGAAGAGAAAUUAGAGGUUUAUAAAUCCAAGGCAGUACGAGAGGUUAGAUCCGCUUCGUCAAUGUCAGGACCCGUUUACAUAACAGAGAGCCGGAGCGGGUCGAGCACUCCUUACAGACGGACUUAUUCCGGUCCGAUUUCAGCCGGGACUCUGAGUUUGCCGUACGUUAGCCUUAAGGAGCUUAACAUGGAGGUGGAGGGAGAACAGAGGGUUUCUACAUCCGCCUUGCCCAUCUACUUGGUCACUUGAUCGAAACAGAGGAUUGAAGAAUCGAUUGGAAUUGGAAGAAGCUGCAGAUCUUCAUUUUCAUUCCCUGGUUUUCUUUUGCAGGAGGAAAGUUAAUUCCAUUGGCCCCUGUUUUAGGUACGAAAGGGUAAUUUUUCGAUAUUCAUAUGAUUUCCCCUUUUAGAUUAUUAUAGAUAGAGAUUGACAGAGUGGGGUUGUUGGUGUUGGUGAUGAUUUCCACUGAGAUUGCUUUUGCUGGUAAUGGUAAUUAUGAACAGGUUGUUGGUGGCUUAAUCCAAUUGACUUACUGGUGAACUUACCUACUUAGUUAUUUUUCCACUGUCAGCUGUAAUUACUGUUGGUGAUUUGUUAAUUUUGAAUGAUUUUAUGGAUUUUUGGUGGGGGUUAAUUCAUUGUUUAAUGUCCUUAAUAAUUUAUGCUUUGAAUAUUUUAAAAUUCCCAACGGUCCAUAGGGGGAUGAAUAUGUCUUUAUUUUGUCAGCUUGUUAUAAUCUACCCAUAUGGUAUUGAGACAUUGGGCGCACGUGGGAGCAACAUAGUGAAAUCGUCGAGUCGAUAUAGGAUUAAAAAAUGAUCUAAAAUCGUAAUCGUAUAAUUGAAUUGUGAAAUUAUAAAAUUUUACGACUUUUAAAUAAUAUUAUAUAUUUAAAAGUACACUAAGAAAAACACAUAAAGUUGCUAAAUAUUGAUUAAGAUCAUUAUAAAGAACUCGAAUUAAACAUGAUAAUCAAUGCUAUGUGACUUAUGUUUUCAUCAAUAAACUCAAAUCAGUUGCGGUUCGCUUAAAUCUGUGUUCGAUUCAGCUUACCCGCGAAAAUAAGUUUCGGGUUGCUCAAACAAGUGGAAUCGUUACUGAUUUUACUCUCAGUUUCACCGAUUUUACUCUUGAUUCCAAUCCGAUUUUACGUGGAAUCUAAAUCGCUAAGUCUAAAUAAAAUCGUAUCAUUUUACGAUUUAAAUCGUCGAUUUCACUAAGUGGGAGAAUGAUAAGCAGGCGUAUAUACUAUAUACUAUAUAAUAUACCCCGGACUGAAAUGUCGAACCGGAUAAAUAAAAGAGUUAAAGAGAAUCAUCAUUGAAAUGAUAAAAUUUGUCAAACAAAUCGACCGUUUCGUUUGUUUUUCAUGAUAAAUCAUGGAAUGAUUAAUAAAAACAAACGAAGAUAAAUUUUCCAAAUAAUCACGGCAUAGGGCUGAUCUUGAACCUGUUGAUACGACAAGCCGCCUAUGAACCAGAGGGGGGGGGGGGGCACACCAGUCUGAAUCAAAGUUUCCAGCUUGGACGAACCAGUCCCACUUGGGUACAAUGAACCGAUCAAUUGUAAUUGGUCAAAGCCGGUAUUUGUGUAUAAAUCCAAAGGAGAGAGCGGCGCGGGAGAUAAGAUGGGGGCCAUAAGAAAACAUUGGAGACGAUAAGUCAGUAGCAGCAAAAAUACGAGAUGAUGUGCAAUUUGUCACUUUUGUCAGUUAGCCUUUCAGUUUCACCUUCCCCGCCGCGUAAAAUCAAUGGCCGUUUUCUUUACUCUUCUUUUUGUCUAACAGAAGAUGAGCCAUGCCUUUUACGGCGUCAUUUCAGGAACAACGAGUGUGAAAGGAAGUCCGGAGAAAGACCACUUCCAAUUUGUUAAUUAAUGAGCACGGCCACAAUCUUCCAGUGACGUCACUCAUAUCAAUUCAUUCAUUCAUUCUGUACACCAUGAAUAGGAAUCCUGGAUGAAAAAACAGCAGUAUAGCAGUACAGUGUGUAAAUGUGAUUUCGCCUGGGAUGGGAUAACUUUCCUUUUCUUUUCCUAGUUUCUGUAGCAACAGUCCCUACCCACAUCGACUCCAUGUGCCCUUUUGCCUUUUUUCUUGGCCUCUGUUGCUUCCGUUGCUGUGUAGUAACAUGGAUAUUUAUUUGUCUAUUGGGGGUGUUUGUGUUCCUCCACACUGAUUGAUUCGGGUGGAGGAAAAGAGGGGUUCGAGCGGAGGACGUGGCCAUUUGAACUUGCCCGAUGGCUUACCUAACCUUCUGGAUUACUUGGGGGUUGCUAAGGUUGAUGGACGGAAUGUGUCAAGGAUGAUCCUUUCCGCUAGACAUCUUACUAUGUCGACGGGCUCUGUAAGGAAUCCCUUGUCAUGCUCCGCUCCUCUGUUGUUGGGACUUGAAAGGCCCAACCAUAUGUCAUUGGGUUUGCCAUGUUCCGUCAAGGGGCUUGAUCUCGUCUGUCUAUGGGUAGAUGGCCCACAUUUAUCCGUCGAACCAUGUGACCGUUACACUAACUCGGCUCAAGGCCUUGAUCACCCAACAAGGGGUAGGGUCCAUCAAUUUCAAUUCCAUCCUACGGGUUAGAGCUGGAACACUUUCGAGUUUCGAGCACCAAGGAGCAAUGAUUAGACUUGUAUACUUAAGCAGAAGAUGCACGCACAAACGGACGGAUGGUGAAUUAGUAAAAGGAGAUUCACGAGGAAAGCGUGAGAGAGAGUGAAUGAUGUUUCCCAUAUCAUUCUAAAACUGUCUUUAUUCUAGAUUCUUGAGUAAUCAAGCAAGCCAUUCAAGAGAUCAUAAUUCCAGCAGUAGAUGAUCACUAUCUAGGCAGAUCAUUUCUGGGUAUACAGAUGAACUAGGAAGUGGUCAGAAAUUUCCAGGCCUUUUACGCUUUUCGCAGUUGAAAUGGACAUCGAUAAGACCAGUUAUCCCAGCAGUUACUUUCUGGCCAGCUUUUACUGGACUAACACCAGGAGGAGUGCCUGAACAAACAGCAACAACAAAGAAAUAUGGCUCCAUGUUACAACCAACUCCGACGAUUCGAUUCUGCUGGUCUUUGGUGGUUAAUGAAUCACUACCACGCAAACAAUACAAUCCUAGUUCCAAGAAAGAUAUACCCACAAAUCAACUGUUGACAAAUCACAGUUUCUAAUUUAUGAGAACAGAAGAUGCAUGCUACCAAGAUAUCACAAGGUUUUCUAGUUUUCCUUCGAUCAUUUUGGAUGUCGACCAUGGAUACUGGAAAUUGAAUUAAGCAAACAUUCCCAUAAAGAAGCAAUCAGAAAAGAUAUACCCACAAAUCGAGUGUUGACAAAUCACAGUUACGAUGUCCAUAGGAGGGAGCUUAGUUGUUCCAAAUAGCCUUAGGUUAACAAAUAAGCUUCACUAAAAUGAAGCGAAGGAAGAAUGAGUUAGAUACCUGUUAAGAUGACAUCUCCUUCAAGAAGCGUCAUGAUUGAGCUAAUGUAGCUAAUGAGAAAUGGGAUCUUAAACAUCAUAUCUUUUGUGGAGCCUUGCUGUCUUAUCUCCCCAUCUACCUGCACACAAAGAACCGAGACGAUAGGAUCACAUAGAUCAUCUGAGAAAACUUAGCAAAUGAAAUAACAUAAAUUCGGCACCUUUAGCCACAGCUCCAAAUUAUCAGGAUCGGGUAUAGCUGAUGUCGGAAGCUGCACAAAGUCGAUAGCAGACCGUUAUUUGUUUUUAGCCAACGAUUAAAGGUUCAAACGUCCGAAGGCUACUUAACAGGCAUAGGAGCUUUGACUACUAUUGAGUAUUGAGUUCUAACCAUCCAGCAUCUCUAUUCUCUAAUAACACAGUUCUGGCUUCUACAAUGGCAUUUACUCAUAUACGAAUAGUGCUACCAGGCAGACAUUGUUGCUUAUCAUCAACAGAUUAAGAAUAAAAGAAAAGGUAGCUAUGAUGAAGACUGAAUUACUCAUUCAUAAGCAAUAUCCAUGUCAAGUUCACCUAUUAAGACCGAAUUGAAACAAUAAGAAUGGCGAUUAGCUUACAAUGGAACUAAUAGGGGUGAAUGUAUCCUGGCCUUUGGCCACAGUCCAUGGAAGUCCUGCAGUCUGAGUGGCAAAAACGAUUUACGAAAUUACAUGGGUUCAUUGUAAAAACUGAGGAGAGAGCAAGAACAUUCAUCUCACCUUAGCAGAAGCUUGGAUUUCUCUUGCAGUCAUAUCCAACGCAAGAGCGUAGCCUGAAAAGAAACGUUAACAACAAUCAGGUCUCGUUCACAAACAUAAUCAAAAUUCCAAAGCUCGACGGAUCAGGUGAUGAUUCUCGAACCUCCGACAUAAUCCAUGGCGGAAGCCUCGGGCACAUCGCGAGCUUUCUGGCUGAUAACGACGGCGAGCUCCACCUCGUGAUGCAGCGACUCCAGAGGAUGUGGAAUCUCGAUCGUGCCUCCGUUAUUCAAGUAGGACGAAGUAGGCUUCAGGAACAGCACCGGCUCCUGCAAGGAGAAACAAAUCAAGGCACGAUUCUCGAUUUAAAUUGACCCGAUGGAGAGAUCAACAUCAACAUCAUUGAUCAGGCUGGACGGGAAAUCGAGACCUUGGGGAUGGCGUUGCCGAGUUCUUUAGCAUGAGCUGCGUAGUUACGGCCGACGCCAACGAUCUUCGUACCUACUUGGAGUAGCCUCUGGAGUCCCAAAGCUGCCGUCGCCAUUUCUCUGUUUCCGCUUUCUCACAGCGAGUUCAGAUCCUUCUUCUCCAGUUCCCCCCGUCGUCAGCUUUGACAAAGCGUCGGCACUAAACGAUUCCGUUUUGUUGAUUGAGAAAUGGAAACGAUAACGACAACGUCUUUUUCUAUUCAUUACAGUCCAGGUGUCCAACCACCCAGCACAUUGAAAAUCCCAGCAUUACUACUUGCCCGGUCCACACUCCCCUCACUACAACAUCUCAGUAUUUAAUCUCCUAACCCCCGGUAAGCAGGAGCUCCCAGAUUUCAUCCUACAACAAUGGCCUCUCGUCUUUUCCUUCUCUCCGCUCUACUCCUCCUCGCGAUCUCCGUCGUCCCUUCCUCCGUAAGUUCCCCGUCCAUCUCGAUCCUUCAUAUUUUGAUCAAAUCAAUCGCGUGUCCUUUCUUUUAAUUUUAUCUGAUUCAAGAUCUAACGAAUUUGCAGGCCGAUGAUGACGAAUGCGUUUUCACACUGUUCGUGAGGACCGGAUCCAUCUUCAAAGGAGGAACAGACUCGUUGAUCGGCGCCAGGUUGUUCGACGAGAAUGGCUACUACGUGGAGAUCAAAGAUCUGGUUGCUUGGGGAGGACUGAUGGAAACGGGCCAUAACUACUUCGAGAGGAGCAAUCUGGACAUCUUCAGCGGCAGGGCGCCUUGCCUGACCUCCCCGUUCUGCGCCUUGAACUUGACCUCUGAUGGAUCAGGGGCCCACCACGGCUGGUACUGCAACUACGUGGAGGCUACCUCCACCGGCGUCCACGGCUCCUGCUCACAGCAGCUAUUCACCGUGGAGCAGUGGCUCGCUACAGAUACCUCGCCCUACGAGCUUUCCGCGAUCCGUAAUUCUUGUCCCUACGAUUUGGUUACCAAGGAGACUCGUCCGGUGACAGCCGCCGCCCGCAAGUCAGCGGCCUCCUCCUCCUUGAUAAGAGAGGUCGUAGCGACUGCUUAGAUGUACUCUGCUCUGAAAUGUUGUUUCAAGUUAUUACUGUGUAUCGAUCGGUGUGGGAGAUGUUUGAUGAUUGAGUGGAUGACCUUGUAAUGUUGUUUUUGAGUUAUUAUUGUGUACUGCAUCUGGGCUGUUAAUUACUAGGUCAAUAAUGAAUAAUUCCCAUCCAUCAACUUGGUUUCCAAUUUGAUUGCAUUUUGUCAUUGAAGAGAAGAUAAUAAUAAUAAUUAUUAUUAUUGAUUAGAUGAUGAGUUAUACAAGAUUACAAGUUCUUUUGCUCCUCCCUACGAGUUCGUCGGCGUGGAAGUGAGAAGAAGUGAUGAAUUCUUCAUCUGAGUUGCAGCAUGAACAGUUCAGGUUUUUCAAUAAGCUGUUUCCACUCAGUGCAGAAUCUUGCGACUGUAGCCCCAUCCAGAACUCUGUGAUCUGCUCCUAUAUUUACCUGAAACACAAACAACAACCAAAUGAUGGACUCAUAAUCAACAUUUCUGCUAUCCAACGAGAAUCGAAUCAACCGUAGGGUGUUAAUAAUGGACGAUAGAUUGAAAUGCGCUUACAGUCAUGAUUGAUGCAGGGUAGACGUUCCCAGUUUUGUCGAAACGGGGGACUUUCUGGAUUCGGCCCAUGGCAAUGAUGGCGACUUCAGGUAGAUUGAGGAGGGGAGAGCCGAACUUCCCGCCAAUUGCACCAAUGUUACUCAAAGUCACUGUGCCGCCGGUUAUAUCCUCGGGGCUAAGCUUGUUAGCCACUGCCAACUGUUGUAAGCGCGAGACUUCCAUGGUUAUCUGCACAAAUUGCUAGAUUGGAUCAGUAACGUGAAGAAAAAGGAAUGCAAACCUACGUUCUGGAAGAAGCAACAUUUUUCAGCUACUGAUGUAAUGAAAGUUGACUUUAAAACAGCAUACUAGAGUGAGAUUCAUAUUGGUGAAUUGUAGACAAACACCAGUAAGUCUUGGAGUGGGAACUGCUAUUAGUAUCAAACGGAAUCAAUAUGACUGGAAACUGACCUCCAGGAUCGAAAGAGACUGAACAUUCUUUAUGUUUGGUACCACUAGACCAGACGGAGUAGCCAUGGCAAUUCCAAUAUUGUGAGAACCUGUAGUGCAAAUGUAAAUGUUAAGACAAUGAACUUCACGCUACCUAACAUCACAUCCAUUAACCUAGCCUUAUUUUUCACAGGAAGAAACAUCCAACUAUGCAGCAGGAUACGAACAUUACAUCUUAGGGCUAGAAUCGUGAAGCUGAAUAGCAAAUAAUCUUGAAAAAUAUUGAGGAGUUCUAUUUCCUCAGUUGUCUAACUAGUGGCCAUGCGAAUAAGAAUAUACAGAAGUGAAAAACUGGUGAUUUCUGGGGGAGUAGGUCACUAAACCUUUUAGUAUGACCUCCAUUGCAUCCUCGUUGAAACAACUAUUAACCAAAGGGUAUUGGCUGAGGGUUGACGAGAGAGACUUGAUCAAUAAUGGAAGAAAUGUAUGCUUAAUGGCUGGAUCAAUUGUAUUCUUUUGGAAUGCGGCCUUGAGUUCCACUAAUGCAUCACAAAUAAUCUCCUCCACGUAAUAAAAAUGUGGAACUUUGGAAGCCAUGGUCAUUGUCUUCACCAUUGCCCUCUGGAAUCCCCUGAAGAGAAUAACCAGUAGGGAAUAUAAUGACAACUGUGACUGGACAAUAGUGGCAAAUGACAACAAAAGUAGCUCAGUUUAACUGUUUACACUAGGUGAGGAGAUAUGUCGGACAUUACCUUAAGGUAACCUUCUUAUCAUUUGGGUGGUCGGCAAUUUCAGCUAAUCCAGGUUUGUCGUGUGCUUCUCCUUCCUGAAGCUCAUCACCCAAAUGAGUGUCAGAAGACUCGAUGAUUCCUUUCUGAACAGCAUAUUUAAGAACAUCUUCUUUUAGCACCCUCCCAGCUUUCCCAGAUCCUUGGAUGUCAUCUAGACUGAUGCCAUACUGUUUAGCAAUGUGCCGCACUGCUGGUGUGCACAAGAUUCCACCACUACUACUUCUGUUCAAAUCAGACCUAAAUGUCUCGCUGUCUAGAUUCUUGUUCACCUGAGACCCAGUUGACUGUACAGGAACCUGAGAAUCCUCAACAAGCAUCUUCACAAGAGUUUCCCCAACCUGCAAUUGAGUUUUCCCUAUCUCUUAGGACACAUUAAAGUUUCUCCAAACAAUCAUGCACUAUACCACAAAACUAUUGAUCCAGUGAUAUUAUUGCCCUAUUAGUAUAUAUUCAAUGACCUCUAACUUCACAUUCGAUACUGCAACAAUCAAAUCGGCUUGUUCAAGGCAACCACACAACCGCUCAAGCAAAUAUCUAUGCGAGUUGCUAUUGAAAAGACUGAUGAUCAUACAGAACAAUUCAGACCUUAACGAUGUCCCCAGGAACAUAGAGCAUUUGAGACACUCUUCCUUUAUAACGGCUUGUGAUCUCAAUGGUAGCCUUGUCACUCUGGACUUCACACCGUGGCUGGAACUCAUCAACUUCAUCCCCCUGAAGAGGCCAGAGGAAAUCAACUAAAAAUCGAAACGGAACACCACAUAACCAUCAUUUCAACGAAAUUAGACUACAAGGGGAAAAGAAAAACUGAAGCUAAGCCUCGAGGAUCACGCACCUCUUUAACAAACCACUGAAGCAAUUCGCAUUCAGCAAUACCUUCGCCGGUCUGCGCCAAUGGCACAUCAACUAUCCCUUCCUUAGGAAGAUCAGCCACCGCAACACCGGAAAAGGAACGCCGCUUCCACGCACAUAAGAACACAUAGAAACACCGUUUUAGAUCCUCGGAAAAACUUGUACUAACUAAAAUUAAUAAAAACAAACAAGCGAAGAACAGGCAAACUCACUCGAAUAGAAAUGAAGCCGUCGCGGGGAAAUCCGAGCGAAGCUGACGUGUGGCUUGAGCGAGCGAGUUGAGACAAGAGGGAGUGGAACGGAAGCUCGUGGUGUCCAGCGACGACAGCGGUCGGCGGUGGAUAAGGAAGAGCAGCAUGAGGAGUGUAACCGCUCAGUAAUCGCGAGACGGACAAAGCUCGUCUCCGGCUCAGUAUCCUGAUCGGAAUCAUGAUCUGGGGAAGCUGACCGCAAAUUAUUGACAGCUGAUGCUCAAGAUUGCUGGUAUUUUGACCGGAAGCCAAGCUGGUUUUAGCAGAAGUUGCUAUGACACGAAAUUGAAACGUGUAGAAUAUGAAAUUAGUUUUUUCUUUUCAGGCCAUUGGUGCCCGUUUCUUCAUUUCUUUAAUCUUUGAGCUGAUCGGAUGAAGUAAGUAGUUACCGUUUCGGAUUAUGAUAUGAUCAGGUCAACUAAAGAUGGACUUAUUAUACUGUGACGUGGAUCUGAGUUACGAGGAUACACAUCAUUUUCGGGGUGGGCUUAUCAACUUAUCCUUGACAGGUCCAAUACAUGGCUUACUCAUACUUGGGCUGUAUACAUUGAGGCCCAUGGGUUGGAAGAAAUAUAGAGUCAUUCAAAGGUCCUUACAGGCCCAAUACUAAAACAGAACUAUCGGAUAAUUGGUUGCGGUCUAUAAGUUACUCGAGGACGAUAAACGGAAUGAGUCGAGUGAUACAAAUUCAUAUACAUAAGUGUCGAAUAAUAAUAAUUUUGUGGUAUGACGUAACUCUCAAUUAUAUAGAAUUAAAACCAUAUAGUUGGAUUGCUAAGUGGCACAGCACGUAGAAGAAUGAGGCAUUGUUUUUUAUUCAGAAUCACGUAACAAUCGGUAUAAUUGAGCAGUAAUUAUAUCGAUGCGGGAUACAGUUCUUAAAAAUACUUAAUUUAUUAGACUCGUAUGCUUUAUUGAGAUUAAUGAGCAAAAGGUACUUUAAAACCCUGGAUAUCCUCGUUUGUAACUUGAACUGGAGUCAGGUCACGUUCAUCUCGAACAUGGAGCAUAAACUUUAUAAUAAAAUAAAAAAGAGAAUAUUAAAAAAAAUACGGAAAGGAAUGGUGUUCACUUUCUUUCAUCAUGUAGGGCCCGGAAUCUGUAACAGUAGACCUGGACACGUGGCCCAACACCUCGUCCAGCUUAGAAAAAGGCCAUUCUUGGAUGGGCCCAGAGGUUCCAGUGGUUGUAAAACAAGGGUCCCACCCUGCAGCUCAUCGGCCUUUUGUCGUUUUUUCUGGCUUUGGAUUUAUCGGUCCUGUCUUCUCAUGUUUGGAUCAGUCUUGGGUUUCUUAGGACCACGGUUGCCCAGUUUUAAUCACUGUCUACGACGCCGUAUAGCAAGUUCCAGAAAUUUCUCCUCAUUAUAACUGUUGGUAUGAGAUCAACCUGAUAACUAAAAUUUGAGGAUUCUCAACGUUGCUUGACGAAUCAAAACUGAAAAUGUAUUGAUAGAGAGGAAGUAGAUAUAAAGUGGGACAAAUAAAGUUUAACGAUAGUGUCAUUAAUGAGUUCUAUGAUGUCUAAUUUUUCAUAUAUGCAAAUUGAAGUAACAAUGGUGAGUAAUUCGUUCCAUCAAAAUUUUAUAAUGUUAUGUAAACGUUGACUUUACAAUGUAGAUACUCCAGUCUCUAGUCAGACCAAUCAAAUUUUCGGACCGUUAUGGACUUGGGUUUGGCCACACAGAGCUCACCUUCUAAGCGGUGCUAGGAAUUUGGAGCCGUGUUUGGGUCUGAACCUAUUCAUUGGUGCUCAUCAGUUUCAAUCACACAAUACUAAACUAGAUUAGAUUGCCUAGCCAAGAGAUUAUUCUAUUGCUAUUUGUUUUUGUUCGACAACAAAUUACAACUGCACCAAAUAUGCAACGUCUUUUUGUUAUGAAUCGGUUUAUCUUUAUAAUUUAAUUUAUUGGGAAAAAAUUUGAAUAUUAUUCAUUAACAAUUAGCAUGUCCUUCAAACAAAAAUUCUUAAAAUAAUUAAGAUUUGCAUAUCUUUAAUAAAUCAUAUACAUAAAUUUAAAACUACCCAAACUCAAAACGUAAAUCUCUUCAAAAAUCUUUAAAAAUUCUAAUACUAUGUCAUAAACUCUUACCUUAUAAUCCCAUAAUAAUUGUAAAUAUAUUAAAAUUAAUUCUCAAAGUAACCAUUUUGAGUUAACUAUGUAGUAAGAGCAAAUUGGACAAUUGGGGUGGGCCCGGAGAGGGUGCCAGCUGUGGGUUUUGCUUUUAGAGUGUAAAUAAAAUAAUAAAUAGAUGGAAUUAAAGUGAGUAUUUACUUUUUUACUUUUACUUAUUACCUGAUGAGAUGACAACAUUUUCAUCUUGAGACUUGAAUGGGGGAGCUCGGUAGCAUGCGGUGGGUGGCUGGAUAGAUAUAAAUAGCAGUCUAUAAUCAACGAUACCUGUCACUCCAUUUUGGUUGCGACACGUACCUCCAGCUAGCUGCCCGGUUGCAGUUUGGGACAUGUAGUUACACAUCCAUAUCCUAACUCUCGUAAAUUAUCCCGUAAUUAAAUAUUCGAAUAACUAAGUGUGUCAUAGAAAAAACGACUCUAUGUACAUGUUGUUUACUUUAUUUCGAUUUGGAUGUAAGACCAUUUGAAUUUGUAGUAGGGGGAAGUGCAAGUGUCGUGAUCCACCAUGUACAAGCAAUGAUAGAGCAAGCUCCUAAUCAGCUAUACUAAAAUUGUUUUUUUUUGUGAUGAGCUAGCUCCUUAUAAUAACUUCGUUAGGAAGGUGUUCCGUCCUCGUACUAUACAGGGAUAGAGCCCGGAUUCACCUAUUCGUCGAGGAGACUCGUCAAAGAUGUGCCUCUUGAUAGCUAUAGCGUCUGUACGUUUUUCUGUAUCCCAUUUUGUUGGUUAUCUUCGUAUUUCUUAUUACUUUCUCAAUCUAAUUUAUAGAAUAUAUCAUAACCACCAAUAUAUAAAUAUACGACUUUUUUCUGAUAAAAAAAACUGCGUAUUUGCGUGCGUAGAUCGUAUCGAAUUCUGUUGGGAAUCCUUGGCUUCAACUUGAGAAGUUAACGUGUAGUAGUGUAUGCUGUGGGCUGGGGAACUUAAUUAUAUACCCAUCGUUUUCAGGAAGAAUACAUAUUUCUUAGCGAUAAAUAAUAAAUGUAGUUCCGUGAAGGAAUCAAUUCAUAUUUGAUUAUAGAAAGCUAAUCAUGCGAUUGAUGGAUAUUCAUAUUCCAUCUUCUCUACUUGUGUUCUUAUGUUACGCAUCAAAGCGUGUAACUUAUAAGACAUGUUAUUGUUGUCCCAACUCUUAUUUCAAUCCGGGUCGCCUAACAAAAGUUUGGAAUAUAAUAGAGUGUGUUUUUAAAACCUUAUCGUCGGGUAAACUUUAGAUUUAUCGGUCGCCAAUCCAGAUAAAAUCGGUGAUACACCAAAUUAGAAAUAAAGUGUGAAGUUGCCUGGGUGUUUUAUGACAUCUUUUAUAGUAACUUGAUCUAGGCAAUAGGGCAUAGCAACAACACAUUGCCUCUAACUUAGUGAUCUUAUUACGGACAUAACGGAACUACACCAAUUCAUAAAUGAUAAUAUCAGAGAUUCCGUCUAAAGAAUUAUAAAUCUAAAUUAAAAGUUUAGAUGAAUGAUAUAAAAUUAAUGAAGAACCUUUUCGAAUAACUCGACAUGGAGUAGUUCAUAACAUAUCUGGGUGAUUGCUAAAUCUUGAUUCCUAAUCUCGAUAGUACACAUUCGGUUACACAUGACUUUUAAUAUUGUAUAAAUUUAUAACGAUUUUUAUUGUUUUAGAGCUUCCGUUUUAAAAGAGCAUGUUAUGAGCCACCCAACAUCAACGUUGAAUGCAAGAGUUGAGGACAAAACCAAAUCCGGUGAGUUUUCAACUUUUUUACAAAUGAAUUUGUAGUAUAAACUGUUAUACGAAUGCAAAACUGGUUUACAUAUAUGCAUUAUAAUUUAGAAAUGAGCAUGGAUGAAGUUGGAGUUACGUGUAGAGUAGACGAUGUAAUCAGCAUGGGUAAUGGGUUAUCAUUGUCAUACACGUAAACGUAAAAAUGAUUACCAAAAGAGUUCAAAGAGGAUUGCAAAACGACAAGUUAGAUGUCUCGUCUUUGCGGCCACUUUCCCCACGAUUAGUACGACGUUUAAUUAAACAACAGACAGGUGGGACAAGUUACCCCAGCUGAAGUGCACGAAGCUUAAAUCAAAUCACCAUUAUUUAUUUACCUUUUAAUCAAGAAACUGUAAUUUCUCACGGACAGCUUCUUGUUUAUAUAUUCACCUAAUUUUGUUGCCACGACCCCCCAAACAUGAAUGCCACAAUUAGUAAUCCAUUGUUAUAUUUUCUAAACAAAUAUUCUCUCGGAAAUUUAACACUAUAAUUCACACUACUAAAAAAAAUAAGAAUGAAACUGUCUUUUUUACUAGGGGAAUCAAUUCUAAUAUCUCCUUUGUAUUGUAUUGAAGUGAAAAAAGUGGAAUACAACUUUGCCCAAAUAAUUUUCCAUUCCGGCAUAUGUGCAAGAGAAGAUGCACUCUCUUACGAGUUGAACAAAAUGAAAAUAUUUAAAUGUUAAAUAAUAUAUUUUAUCAAUUUGGUAAAAUUUGUUACCAGAGCAGACAAAAUUAACUCCACAAAUUAAUAUGUUGGGUACUUAUUUAUUUGCAUAACUUGAGUCCGAAAGUUCAAAAANNNNNNNNNNNNNNNNNNNNNNNNNNNNNNNNNNNNNNNNNNNNNNNNNNNNNNNNNNNNNNNNNNNNNNNNNNNNNNNNNNNNNNNNNNNAAAUAUCUAUAUAAUUUUAUUUAUUUUUUGGCAUAAAAUGCUUUUUUUACGGUUAACAUCUUUAUGGGGUUUAGGCCCCAUCAUGGAUAAAAUCAAAGAGAGCCUUCAUUCAAACUUGAAUUACAUUUUUUUUAUAAAACAAACCGAACAAUUUUAUUGAUGAAAGAUCUGAACAUUUAACACUGUCAGAUUAAAAUUGUGAGGUGUUUCCACAGAUGGAUAGCAAUGGAGAAACAUAUGAUUUACAAUUCACAUUCUUCACAUCCUUAAACUCCUCAAAACCAUACUUUACACAUAUAUGAUCGACUCGAUUAAGACCUCUACUAAUCGACAUGAAGCAAAAAACUACUACCCAAAAUAUUAAAGAAGAGUCUAGGCUAGACUCUAGACAUGACAUCUACUAACAAUUUCAAACUUAACAAAAUCAAAGAGCACACAAAAUUAUGACGCGAAGUUAACCAGACAAGGUUAGCCGGCGAGUUAAUUGAGACAUUGAUGAAGCCGUCAGAAACUCCACUUGUAGCCAACGAAUUACAUGGUUGGGCGGGUCGCACUUGGCUAACCCACCUGUUGUUCAAAACCCGGUGGUAUUCCCAACUUUCUUGUUGAUUUAGACGGUCUGCCGUCCAUCUGCGACCGUCCUUGUAUAUUCGGAGCCCUUUCUGGCCGCAACUGAUUGUUCUCCUCCGUGGCAACGGCGUCGCAACAUGGAUGUCACACUACCUUCUUCUCCCUGCCGCUUCCGGCAACCAUAGUUCAAUCUGGUGUUGCAGAGGUCGCGACGAUGAUGGUUGAUGUUGAUGGUGAUUCUUUAAUUUGUGACUUGAUGGAGGUACGGAUGCUUUGAUGAUGUUGUGUUUCGGCCUUGUAGACGAGACCAACAAUCUUAUAAUGAGAAUUGGAGAAAAAACCCUAAAGAGGGAGGAGGAGCAAGCCCUAGCCGUUCAGGGGGAGAAAAAAAACCUCUAAAAGCCAGACUUCUUACAUUAACAUUAAACUUGAAUUACAUUUGAAAUUUAAAUUGAUUUAAUGAGAAAAUUUUGUAAUUUUGAUUAGGAGAAUUGAAACCACCAAUUUUUUACUCUUCUUACUUAGUUAGUUAGUUUCAUUAAGUGCUCCCAUUUCAUCAAUCCAUUCUCAUUUGUCAGUUUCAUUAAUUGCUCCCAGUAAGUAGCCGCGACCUUAAUUAAUUAAAUUACCAAACCCCCCAUUUCCAAAAGGUAAAAAAAAAAAAACAGACAACAGCACACACAAAAGGACAGUGAAAUAAAAAAAGAAAAAGCGUGAAAGAAUAAAAGUAACAAAAGGUGAAAAAAAAUAAAAAAGAGGAAGCGGGGGUGUACGUGGCGAUAAAUCAACACUAGAAGUCAAAUCGUACGCUGCGCCAAUCGUCCUUGUUAUUACUGCUCCCUCCCUUCCUCCCUAUUUAUCUCACCAAAUUAGCUUCCCCAUUCUUCUUCUUUCUUCUGCCCCAAACCGCUUAGGGUUCUAUAAUGUGAGAUAAUGGUGGGAUUGAGCAUCGUCUUGGAUCACCCCCACCGCAAAACCACCACUCAAGUCUUCAACAAAUCCUCCUUGAUCGCCGCCGACCGGAGCAAGCUUCAUCAUUUGAUGAUCUCUUCUUCUCACCCUCCUUCUCCGUCGUCAGGAUUUCUGGAUCUCUGUUUUUUCUGCGGCGGGAAACUUCUUCCUGGCAUGGACAUCUACAUGUACAAGUAAGUGAGCGAUUGAGUGAGUGAGCUCUAGAUCGAUCGAUUUUGUUUUUGUUAACCCUAAGUCGGUUAGUUAGUUAAUUAAUUAGAUCUCGUAAUUCUUGCAGGGGGGACAGAGCAUUUUGUAGCGUGGAGUGCAGGGACAAGCAUAUGAACAUGGACGACGAGCAGGAGACCGCCGUGACGACGACGAAGAAGAAGAAGAAGCAUCAGUACUGUGCGUUUUCCGCUUCCACUAUAACAGCUGCGGCGGCGGGGGGGGGGGGGGACGGUGGUGGCGGUGGUUCUUCCGCUUCUCCGGCGGCUGAUAGCGGGAGUCACCGGAAGAGCGGGAGAGGCGGCGGUUUUGUUUACUAGAAGAAAAUGAGAAAUCAGGCAGUGAAAGAAGAAACUGUAUGAUGAUGAUCAUCAACUGGGUUUUUUUUUUGUACUUUUUAACUUUUUUGGGGUAAUUAAUUAGGGGUUAAUGGAGAGGGGUUUUGUGGGGGGAAUGUACCAAUUUUACCCCUCUGCUUUCUACGAUGUAAUGACGUGGGGUUUGUCGUUUUGUGCCACCUGGUAUGAGGACAAAGUUUAAGAAUUGGACCGCUUUGUUAUAAUUAAUUAGAUACCAAAAAAGAAAGAAAAAAAGGAAAAAAAAUUAAAUUAAUUAUUUCUGUGGGAAGUGGGAACUGCUGCAUUGUCCUUGGAAGGUUUCCUAUUCCCCCCCCAGCCCAUGGGUUUGCUUACCCAUUGGCGGCUUUGGUUUUUCAACUAUUUUGUCCUUCAAUGUUUAUCAUUUCGAAUUCGAACGUUCGUUUUCGUUUUCGAAAUCCCCUUGUACCGUUUGAUGCUGGGAAAUGGAAUUUCAACCAUUGG